CGGGUGAGUAAUGUAUGGGGAUCUGCCUGAUGGCGGGGGAUAACUACUGGAAACGGUAGCUAAUACCGCAUAAUGUCUGCGGACCAAAGCGGGGGACCUCCGGGCCUCGCGCCAUCAGAUGAACCCAUAUGGGAUUAGCUUGUAGGUAAGGUAACGGCUCACCAAGGCCACGAUGCAUAGCCGACCUGAGAGGGUGAUCGGCCACACUGGGACUGAGACACGGCCCAG
rnacentral:rRNA from 1 species